rnacentral:rRNA from 1 species
ACGCUCGACACCUACGGGAGGCAGCAGUUGGGAAUAUUGGACAAUGGAGGAAACUCUGAUCCAGUGACGCCGCGUGAAGGAAGAAGGUCUUCGGAUUGUAAACUUAUUUUGUCAGGGAAGAAAAUGACGGUACCUGACUAAGAAGCCCCGGCUAACUACGUGCCAACAGCCGCGGUAAUCUGAGCGGGCUGGCAAGGC